GACGAACGCUGGCGGCGUGCUUAACACAUGCAAGUCGAACGGAAAGGCCCUGCUUUUGUGGGGUGCUCGAGUGGCGAACGGGUGAGUAACACGUGAGUAACCUGCCCUUGACUUUGGGAUAACUUCAGGAAACUGGGGCUAAUACAGGAUAGGAGCUCCUGCUGCAUGGUGGGGGUUGGAAAGUUUCGGCGGUUGGGGAUGGACUCGCGGCUUAUCAGCUUGUUGGUGGGGUAGUGGCUUACCAAGGCUUUGACGGGUAGCCGGCCUGAGAGGGUGACCGGCCACAUUGGGACUGAGAUACGGCCCAGACUCCUACGGGAGGCAGCAGUGGAGAAUAUUGCACAAUGGGCGGAAGCCUGAUGCAGCAACGCCGCGUGCGGGAUGACGGCCUUCGGGUUGUAAACCGCUUUCGCCUGUGACGAAGCGUGAGUGACGGUAAUGGGUAAAGAAGCACCGGCUAACUACGUGCCAGCAGCCGCGGUGAUACGUAGGGUGCGAGCGUUGUCCGGAUUUAUUGGGCGUAAAGGGCUCGUAGGUGGUUGAUCGCGUCGGAAGUGUAAUCUUGGGGCUUAACCCUGAGCGUGCUUUCGAUACGGGUUGACUUGAGGAAGGUAGGGGAGAAUGGAAUUCCUGGUGGAGCGGUGGAAUGCGCAGAUAUCAGGAGGAACACCAGUGGCGAAGGCGGUUCUCUGGGCCUUUCCUGACGCUGAGGAGCGAAAGCGUGGGGAGCGAACAGGCUUAGAUACCCUGGUAGUCCACGCUGUAAACGGUGGGUACUAGGUGUGGGGUCCAUUCCACGGGUUCCGUGCCGUAGCUAACGCUUUAAGUACCCCGCCUGGGGAGUACGGCCGCAAGGCUAAAACUCAAAGGAAUUGACGGGGCCCCGCACAAGCGGCGGAGCAUGCGGAUUAAUUCGAUGCAACGCGUAGAACCUUACCUGGGUUUGACAUGGAUCGGGAGUGCUCAGAGAUGGGUGUGCCUCUUUUGGGGUCGGUUCACAGGUGGUGCAUGGCUGUCGUCAGCUCGUGUCGUGAGAUGUUGGGUUAAGUCCCGCAACGAGCGCAACCCUUGUUCACUGUUGCCAGCACGUUAUGGUGGGGACUCAGUGGAGACCGCCGGGGUCAACUCGGAGGAAGGUGGGGAUGACGUCAAGUCAUCAUGCCCCUUAUGUCCAGGGCUUCACGCAUGCUACAAUGGCUGGUACAGAGAGUGGCGAGCCUGUGAGGGUGAGCGAAUCUCGGAAAGCCGGUCUCAGUUCGGAUUGGGGUCUGCAACUCGACCUCAUGAAGUCGGAGUCGCUAGUAAUCGCAGAUCAGCAACGCUGCGGUGAAUACGUUCCCGGG
rnacentral:rRNA from 1 species